GAGGUGGGAACUGCUGGGUCCCAGACCUAGAGCCUGCCAGCGGGGCACUCCUGCCCAUACCACCAGGCCCUGGGGCCCCCACAGCUUCCAGCCCUGCAGUAUGGCAGCCACUAUCUCUUCUGGAACCCACACCACAACACUGAGGUGGGCACUACUAUUAUUCCCAUCAUAGCUUGGGACUCUGAGGCCCAGAGAGACUAACUUAUUUGCCCAAUAUCACAAAGCCAGGAAUGUGGCCCCAGAGUAGGGGCCUUCACCUCCCCCUGCUAUCUCCCAGUUCACACCAGUUGUAUACGUCACAGUACUGGGGUUGGGUGUGGUCUGUGAGGUUCCGGCUGGCUCGGGCCAGGCCCAAACCUGCUGCCUGCCUGGCGAAAGUGCAGGAGGAAGCUGUGGCUUCCGGCGAGCUUGAGGCUAGGCCUCCUUCCCAGGCGGUAGAAGCAGCCAUACUGAGCCCCGGAUCUGCAGCUGCUGAGACCACACUAGGAGCUCAAAUGCCUCCAAAGUCAGACAGGCACCCACUCUCAUCCCCUUACUGGCUCACUCUGAAGAAAGCUAGCUGCCAGGUUGUGAGUGGCCCGAUGGAGAGGCAAGAAACUGAGGUCUCUGGCCAACAGCCUUGUGAGUGAACUUGGAAGUGGAUCCUCUCCCAGUCAAGAUGACUGCAGCCAGUUCAACAGCGCCCAGGUUCCUGUCCCGCAGAAACUGUGACACAAUAAAUGUUUGUUGUUCAAGCUUCUUAAUUUGGGGCGAUUUGUUAUCUCUUAUUGGCAGCAAUAAAGAACUAAUAUACUUUCCAUUACACUUAAAAGUAAAACCCAAACUCUCCUCAUGACCUACUGAGGCCCAUCUGGAUCUGGGCCCAUGUAGCUCUCAUCAUCUCACACCCCACUCCCUCUUGUCAUGCUCUGUAGAGGUCAUCCGUCUGGAGCACUGUCCAAUACAGCAGCCACUAGCCUCAUGUGGCUAUUUAAAUUUAAAUUGAUUUAAAUGAAACAAUGAAAAUUCAGUUCCUCAGUAACACUAACCACAUUUCAGUGCUCAGUAGCCAUGUGUAACUAGUGGCUCCCAUAUUGAACAAUACAGAGAAUAUUCCCAUCAUCACAAAAGUUCUGUCAGACAGCAAUGGUCUAGAGGAAGGAGGGGCUUCUAUUUGUACAAAGGUUCCAUGGUGACAUCCAGGAUGAUUAGGAGAAAAAUGGUACCACCAACUGAGGAGGAAUGAAGGAUGGCUGGAUACCUUUUGGUCCCCUAAACUUGCCUGAACAGGCAGUUCUGCCAACACUUUAAAUCCAUACCCCAAGUCUCUGCUAGAGAAGAGGGGGAUUUGUGCGUGUUUGGGUGCUUCCAGACACUUGUGAGCAGGAACCUGAUGGCCUCCCACUUCUCCCAUAGACCCACAUCCUAGAUGUGGCAAGACAGAAGACAGAGCAAGAAGAUGGUGCCUUCCUGCUCUGGUCCAAAGAAGUUAAUGGACAACUUUAGGUGUGCAGAGAGAUCUGGGGCAGGUGUCUAGAAAUUGCUGAGAAGGGGGGAGUAUGUCCACAUGGGAAAGUUUCUUUGUAAAUGUUUGUAGAUUGAGCAUCAACCCUAUGCCAGCCUCUGCCCUUUCACACGCAUUCUCAUUCAGACAUUUAGGAAAUCUUCUAGACUGUGGGUGCCCAUCUCUCCCUAAAGAGGUAUGGCAAUUAAGGUUUAAAGAGGCAAAGCCCUGACCCAUGGUCAUGUUGAGGGUCAGUGGC